rnacentral:rRNA from 1 species
AUUGAACGCUGGCGGCAGGCCUAACACAUGCAAGUCGAGCGGAUGAAGGGAGCUUGCUCCUGGAUUCAGCGGCGGACGGGUGAGUAAUGCCUAGGAAUCUGCCUGGUAGUGGGGGAUAACGUCCGGAAACGGGCGCUAAUACCGCAUACGUCCUGAGGGAGAAAGUGGGGAAUCUUCGGACCUCACGCUAUCAGAUGAGCCUAGGUCGGAUUAGCUAGUUGGUGGGGUAAAGGCCUACCAAGGCGACGAUCCGUAACUGGUCUGAGAGGAUGAUCAGUCACACUGGAACUGAGACACGGUCCAGACUCCUACGGGAGGCAGCAGUGGGGAAUAUUGGACAAUGGGCGAAAGCCUGAUCCAGCCAUGCCGCGUGUGUGAAGAAGGUCUUCGGGUUGUAAAGCACUUUAAGUUGGGAGGAAGGGCAGUAAGUUAAUACCUUGCUGUUUUGACGUUACCAACAGAAUAAGCACCGGCUAACUUCGUG